rnacentral:rRNA from 1 species
GAUGAACGCUGGCGGCGUGCCUAAUACAUGCAAGUCGAGCGAACAGACGAGGAGCUUGCUCCUCUGACGUUAGCGGCGGACGGGUGAGUAACACGUGGGUAACCUACCUAUAAGACUGGGAUAACUUCGGGAAACCGGAGCUAAUACCGGAUAAUAUUUCGAACCGCAUGGUUCGAUAGUGAAAGAUGGCUCUGCUGUCACUUAUAGAUGGACCUGCGCCGUAUUAGCUAGUUGGUAAGGUAACGGCUUACCAAGGCAACGAUACGUAGCCGACCUGAGAGGGUGAUCGGCCACACUGGAACUGAGACACGGUCCAGACUCCUACGGGAGGCAGCAGUAGGGAAUCUUCCGCAAUGGGCGAAAGCCUGACGGAGCAACGCCGCGUGAGUGAUGAAGGUCUUCGGAUCGUAAAACUCUGUUAUUAGGGAAGAACAAACGUGUAAGUAACUGUGCACGUCUUGACGGUACCUAAUCAGAAAGCCACGGCUAACUACGUG